CGUUAUCNGGAAUUACUUGGGCGUAAAGCGUUCGUAGGCGGUUUGUUANGUUAGAUGUGAAAGCCCCGGGCUUAACCUGGGAACUGCAUUUAAAACUGGCAAACUCGAGUUUAGGAGAGGGAAGUGGAAUUUCAGGUGUAGCAGUGAAAUGCGUAGAGAUCUGAAGGAACACCAGUGGCGAAGGCGACUUCCUGGACUAAAACUGACGCUGAGGAACGAAAGCGUGGGUAGCAAACGGGAUUAGAUACCCCGGUAGUCCACGCCGUAAACGAUGUCAACUAGCCGUUGGGCCUAUAUACAGGCUUAGUGGCGGAGCUAACGUAUUAAGUUGACCGCCUGGGGAGUACGGCCGCAAGGUUAAAACUCAAAUGAAUUGACGGGGGCCCGCACAAGCGGUGGAGCAUGUGGUUUAAUUCGAUGCAACGCGAAGAACCUUACCUACCCUUGACAUCCAGAGAAUCUGUUAGAGAUAGUAGAGUGCCUUCGGGAACUCUGAGACAGGUGCUGCAUGGCUGUCGUCAGCUCGUGUCGUGAGAUGUUGGGUUAAGUCCCGUAACGAGCGCAACCCUUAUCCUUAGUUGCUAGCAGGUAAUGCUGAGAACUCUAAGGAGACUGCCGGUGAUAACCGGU
rnacentral:rRNA from 1 species